GCCUAGAGUGGUCCUUUAAGCAUAAUGUUAUCUUUCUGUUCUUUCUAACAUAUCCAGACCUAGUCAGACUCCCUUGACACAAUAUAUACUUUUUAUUGUGCAGAAGUCCAGAUUUCAGAAAUUUGGAUGAUUGCAAAGCUUUGCUAUGAGUAAUGAAAUUACUAAAUGCUAGAACUUCAGUUCUCAUCAUCUCUAUCACCAGGAACAGAUGACUACCGAGGCCGCUUCGUGUUUUUUUAUUUUUUUUAAACUAAUUUUCUCUUCAGUGGUCAGUUAUUUGCAUAAGUGGGAUUAUCAGUGUCUUUCAUGGUUGGAAUGGAUCAGUUCUAUAAAAAAUGUCUAUACUCCCACACUUGCUUUUCUAGUUUUAAAGGAGCACUAUAGGGUGAGGAACACAAACAUGUAUUCCUGACCCGAUAGGGUUAAAACCAUCAUCUAGCCACCCUGGUCCCUUCAUGCCUCUGGUUUCAUGCAAAAUGUAGGAGACGUCUGGCUGAGCCAAACCUUUGUUCAAGCUACACUGUUGACCCGGCACAGUUUGGGAAGUAUGUACUUUGUGACUACUGGCCCAAGUCCAAACUAACACUUAGGGACAAUCCUGACUUCGCCAUUGGGAUCCAUGGUCCACUUUUACACCUGCUCUCAGACACAUCUAUUACUAUUGUUCAUCAAAUUUUACAGGCCCCAUAGUUAGUUGUGCCCCUGUGUGGGCUAUUUCUGGAUACUCCCUGCAUUUUUCUUCACAUAUUCACUCGUGCUCAAAUCUUGCAUGUAAGUGGAACCCUCACCGACAUUUUCUUACCACAUUCGAGACAUUAUUCUCUGUCUUUCGAUCUGAACAUGUUGGUAAGUAAUCAAUGCUCGCUCCACCCACACCGUACUAAUAAGUCAUCUGCAUGUUACAUUCAUUGAUGAUGACUCUCCUAAGAUCAUUGUAGUCACUGAAAAAGAAAAAUGUCCAGGCACUCCAAGGCUUAGAUAGGCAUUUUAUUGAACUACAGUCUCCAGCAGCAAUGCUUCGACCCAAGGGAAAACCUAAAUUUUGCCAAAACGUGUUCAGUUGGUUCAGAAGGUUAAUGAAAUUUGGCAGUACUAUGACUUGUUUGGGCUAGUGAGUGUUACACGUGGUAAUGGUUCUACAGGCUGGAGUUCCUCUCCUCUGCAGAAGCUGCUAGGUAUCUUGAUGUCCACCAUUAUAAUUCCCGAAAAUGAGACAGUCUGGUAUAAUCUGCACACAUGGUUUGCUGCCACCUGUGGCUAUAUGUGUUUCCCUACACCUUUAACUGUUUACGUCCUAUGCACCGUUUUCCCACACUCUCCUUCCCCACCUCCCCCCCCCCUCUUUCUUUUCACUCCCUUAUUCCCUAUACAUCUUCAAUACUUGUUUCUACUCUUCUCUGGCCAUAGCUCUUCCCUUUCUGUAACCUUCUACCUGUGUUAAGCUUUCAUUUUGCUAUCUGAUUUGUUUGUGUAUAAGCCCAUUUUUAUACUGGAUAUGCCUCAGUUUGCACCUUUGGCUAAGUUGUGUAGCAAAACCAGGGUUAGUUGCACUCUCUCUUGACACAUCAUUAUUGCCAUACUAUUAUAAUUUAUCUAUUCACCUCAAUACAAACCAAGUUUAUUAUUUUGCUGAACAUAAUGUAUUUAUAUGUCUGUUCUCUAUAAGUGCCUAUCACGCUAUUGCAUUUUAUGUAUACUUGAUCUUU